rnacentral:misc_RNA from 1 species
CUUAAAAUAAAGCCUAGCGUCAUAAUCCCUCCACGUUUUUUCAAAGAAAAACAUGCAUUUCAAGGCGCUAUGGAUUUCAAAGACCAUGGAUUUACUCAGAACUUAUGGGUUUUAAAAAAGGCUUUAAAAGGAAAUAACUAAAAAACUUUUCCAGUAAUUUAAGAUGAUACCGGGGAAGGUUUUCCGGUUUAUCCCGGAGGGCUUGUAGCUCAGUUGGU